AUUGAACGCUGGCGGCAGGCCUAACACAUGCAAGUCGAACGGUAACAGGAAGCAGCUUGCUGCUUCGCUGACGAGUGGCGGACGGGUGAGUAAUGUCUGGGAAGCUGCCUGAUGGAGGGGGAUAACUACUGGAAACGGUAGCUAAUACCGCAUAAUGUCGCAAGACCAAAGAGGGGGACCUUCGGGCCUCUUGCCAUCGGAUGUGCCCAGAUGGGAUUAGCUUGUUGGUGGGGUAACGGCUCACCAAGGCGACGAUCCCUAGCUGGUCUGAGAGGAUGACCAGCCACACUGGGACUGAGACACGGUCCAGACUCCUACGGGAGGCAGCAGUGGGGAAUAUUGCACAAUGGGCGCAAGCCUGAUGCAGCCAUGCCGCGUGUAUGAAGAAGGCCUUCGGGUUGUAAAGUACUUUCAGCGGGGAGGAAGGGAGUAAAGUUAAUACCUUUGCUCAUUGACGUUACCCGCAGAAGAGGCACCGGCUAACUCCGUG
rnacentral:rRNA from 1 species